UAAUAUAUAAAUCUACAAGCCAAUGAGACUUAGAACAUAACUUUUUACAAUGCAUGGGACAGGCUUAUUCAUUCUCACCAACUCAAAAUAAAGGUUAAUAUUGAAAGAAAGAAAAAAAUUGGUUUUGAUUCUUAAAACUACCUUUAAUUUGACUCUUUUUCAUAUAUAACACUCCAGUUGGUUAAUCAUAUUCAAAGGAAGGCAGUUACCUCACAAGUAGCUCUUAUGAUGUCAAACAUUCUAUAGCCUGAAAUUUCAACCUCAACCUUGACCUUCACUUCCCUCACAACCACUUGAAUUUUUACCCUCGCAGCCACUUGAGCUAAAAUGAAAACUCCACUUUGCUUUCAUCAGUUUUGGGGAUUGUUUUUAUACUGCUGUGGUGAAACAUUCUUCCCCUAAGAAAAUGCACAGGCCACUUUGCUCUGCAGUCAGGAGUUCAAGGCUUCUUCAAUUCUGCUAGGUCACAGCAGCCAGAGAAUCUAUCUGGGUCUGCAAGGUAAAAAUGGAUUGGACUAUUUCCUGUUGACUCCGUGAUAAGUCCUGAGAUAAAGUAUGAUAGUAAGAGAGAGAAGUUAUGAGACCUGCUAUCCCUAUUCCUGGUGCAGUGGAGAAGCCCAAGCCAACAAGCAGAGUAAUCAACUGGAUAGCCCUGUGCUAAUGGACCAAAGUUUCACCACAAGAGAAAGGCUCUGGUUUCCUGGGAUUAUCUGUUUUUGGGGUGAGAUAUGCCAACAUACAGAUCCUUGUACAUUUGAUAGAGAGGCCUAGUCUGAAGUAGGACAGCACCCUGAGGAGGCGAGAAGGAGAACAUCGGCAAUAGCUGUGCUGUUUGUGCAGAAAGCUUCCUUUGAAGUUUCCACACCACAUGCGUGAGGUGCACCAUUGGCAUGGAUAUGGAGCCUUCAGUGUUCACGGGAAGCAAGAGGACAGCUGUAAACGGGGCCUGCACAUGUGAUCCAUCACCUGCUAAAUCAUAGGACUUUCCACUUGGAUAAAUUCACACCCCAACACAGAAGAUGCAGUUUCUUUCUGAACCUAUAAUGUUCUUUCCUUCUAAUAAAACAUGCAUGGCAAG
rnacentral:lncRNA from 1 species